rnacentral:rRNA from 2 species
CCUGAUUGAUUCUGUCAGCGCGAUAUGCUCAAGUAAAAGAUUAAGCCAUGCAUGCUUUGAUUCAUCAAUGAAAUUGCGUACGGCUCAUUAGAGCAGAUAUCACCUUGUUCGGAAUAUUAUAUGGAUAACUGCGGAAAUACUGGAGCUAAUACAUGUCAUACAUCCCCAACGUAAGGCGGGGUGCAAUUAUUAGAACAGACCAAACGUUUUCGGACGUUGUUUGUUGACUCUGAAUAAAGCAGUUUACUGUCAGUUUCGACUGACUCUAUCCGAAAAGGGUGUCUGCCCUUUCAACUAGAUGGUAGUUUAUUGGACUACCAUGGUUGUUACGGGUAACGGAGAAUAAGGGUUCGACUCCGGAGAGGGAGCCUUAGAAACGGCUACCACGUCCAAGGAAGGCAGCAGGCGCGAAACUUAUCCACUGUUGAGUAUGAGAUAGUGACUAAAAAUAUAAAGACUCAUCCUUUUGGAUGAGUUAUUUCAAUGAGUUGAAUACAAAUGAUUCUUCGAGUAGCAAGGAGAGGGCAAGUCUGGUGCCAGCAGCCGCGGUAAUUCCAGCUCUCCUAGUGUAUCUCGUUAUUGCUGCGGUUAAAAAGCUCGUAGUUGGAUCUAGGUUACGUGCUGCAGUUCGCAAUUUGCGUCAACUGUAGUCGUGACUUCUAAUUUGCUGGUUUGAGGUUGGGUUCGCCCUUCAACUGCCAGCAGGUUUACCUUGAAUAAAUCAGAGUGCUCAAAACAAGUGUUUGCUUGAAUAGCUCAUCAUGGAAUAAUGAAACAGGACUUCGGUUCUUUUUGUUGGUUCUAGAACUGAUUUAAUGGUUAAGAGGGACAAACCGGGGGCAUUCGUAUCAUUACGCGAGAGGUGAAAUUCGUGGACCGUAGUGAGACGCCCAACAGCGAAAGCAUUUGCCAAGAAUGUCUUCAUUAAUCAAGAACGAAAGUCAGAGGUUCGAAGGCGAUUAGAUACCGCCCUAGUUCUGACCGUAAACGAUGCCAUCUCGCGAUUCGGAGGGUUUUUGCCCUGCCGAGGAGCUAUCCGGAAACGAAAGUCUUUCGGUUCCGGGGGUAGUAUGGUUGCAAAGCUGAAACUUAAAGAAAUUGACGGAAGGGCACCACAAGGCGUGGAGCUUGCGGCUUAAUUUGACUCAACACGGGAAAACUCACCCGGUCCGGACACCAUUAGGACUGACAGAUUGAAAGCUCUUUCUCGAUUUGGUGGUUGGUGGUGCAUGGCCGUUCUUAGUUGGUGGAGUGAUUUGUCUGGUUUAUUCCGAUAACGAGCGAGACUCUAGCCUGCUAAAUAGUUGGCGAAUCUUCGGGUUCGUAUAACUUCUUAGAGGGAUAAGCGGUGUUUAGCCGCACGAGAUUGA